UGAUUUUUUUUAAGGGCCGCGGUAAUUUGACCGUGCGAAGGUAGCAUAAUCAAUAGUCUUUUAAUUGAAGGCUGGAAUGAAUGGUCGGACAAGGGGGAAGCUGUCUCUUUUUAUAAUUUUUGAAUUUUACUUUUAAGUGAAAAGGCUUAAAUAAUUUGGGGGGACGAUAAGACCCUAUAAAAUUUUACAAAAUUGGGAUUUUUUUUUUGAAUUAAUGUUUAAAUUUUAUGAGUUCCUGUUUGUUUUGUUGGGGCGGCAAAGAUAAAAAUUAGUAACUGUCAUUUAAUUAGAAUAAUUAUAAUUAGUUUAAUUGAUCCUUUAUUAGAGAUUAAAAGAUUAAGUUACUUUAGGGAUAACAGCGUAAUUUUCCCUGAGAGUUCUUAUCGACGGGAGUAGUUGCGACCUCGAU
rnacentral:rRNA from 1 species